AAAAAAUCUAAAAAUUUUCAUCAAAGUAGUAUUAGUUAAGGUCUAGAAAUUUAAAAAUUUUGGCGGUGUUUUAGUCUAUUCAGAGGAACCUGUCCUAUAAUUGAUAAUCCACGAUAAAUUGUACUUAAUUAAAAAAUUUGUAUAUCAUCGUUAUAAAAUAUUUUAGAAGGAUAAAAUAUUUAUAAUUUUUUAUAAUAAAAUAUAUCAGAUCAAGGUGCAGUUUAUAUUUAAGAAGAGAUGGGUUACAAUAAAUUUAUUUAAAUGGAUUUAAAUAUUAAAAUUUUAAUGAAAGUGGAUUUGAAAGUAAGAUAAUUAAAAUAUUUUAUUUGAUUUUAGCUCUAAAAUGUGU
rnacentral:rRNA from 1 species